CUGGGGGUAGGCUCAGUGGUAGAGCAUGUGCUUAGCAUGUACAAAGCCCUGGGUUCCAACCCCAGCACCAAAA
rnacentral:tRNA from 1 species